GACGAACGCUGGCGGCGUGCUUAACACAUGCAAGUCGAACGGACCUUCGGGUUAGUGGCGAACGGGUGAGUAACACGUGGGUGAUCUGCCCUGCACUUUGGGAUAAGCCUGGGAAACUGGGUCUAAUACCGAAUAGGACCACGCGCUUCAUGGUGUGUGGUGGAAAGCUUUUGCGGUGUGGGAUGGGCCCGCGGCCUAUCAGCUUGUUGGUGGGGUAAUGGCCUACCAAGGCGACGACGGGUAGCCGGCCUGAGAGGGUGACCGGCCACACUGGGACUGAGAUACGGCCCAGACUCCUACGGGAGGCAGCAGUGGGGAAUAUUGCACAAUGGGCGCAAGCCUGAUGCAGCGACGCCGCGUGAGGGAUGACGGCCUUCGGGUUGUAAACCCCUUUCGCCAGGGACGAAGCGCAAGUGACGGUACCUGGAGAAGAAGGACCGGCCAACUACGUGCCAGCCGCCGCGGUAAGAC
rnacentral:rRNA from 1 species